rnacentral:rRNA from 1 species
AUUGAACGCUGGCGGCAUGCUUUACACAUGCAAGUCGAACGGCAGCACGGGUGCUUGCACCUGGUGGCGAGUGGCGAACGGGUGAGUAAUGCACCGGAACGUAUCCAAUAAUGGGGGAUAACGCACCGAAAGGUGUGCUAAUACCGCAUACGCCCUGAGGGGGAAAGCGGGGGACCGAAAGGCCUCGCGUUACUGGAGCGGCCGAUGCCGGAUUAGCUAGUUGGUGAGGUAAAGGCUCACCAAGGCGACGAUCCGUAGCUGGUCUGAGAGGACGACCGGCCACACUGGGACUGAGACACGGCCCAGACUCCUACGGGAGGCAGCAGUGGGGAAUUUUGGAAAAUGGGCGCAAGCCUGAUCCAGCCAUGCCGCGUGAGUGAAGAAGGCCUUCGGGUUGUAAAGCUCUUUCGCAAGGAAAGAAAACUCAUCUCCUAAUACGAGGUGAGGAUGACGGUACCUUGAUAAGAAGCACCGGCUAACUACGUGCCAGCCGCCGCCGUAA